GGUGAGGUAGCUCAACUUGGUAGAGCACUGGACUGAAAAUCCGGGUGUUGAGGGUUCAAAUCCCUCCCUUACCA
rnacentral:tRNA from 2 species